AGGGCGUAAACCGAAAAGCCAAUUUUAAAAUAGAGUAGGAA
rfam:Flammeovirga sp. SJP92 Scaffold7_11, whole genome shotgun sequence.